rnacentral:misc_RNA from 1 species
GAUGAAGAACGCAGCGAAACGCGAUAUUUCUGUGAAUUGCAGAAGUGAAUCAUCAGUUUUUGAACGCACAUUGCACUUUGGGGUAUCCCCCAAAGUAUACUUGUUUGAGCGUUGUUUCUCUCUUGGAAUUGCUUUGCUCUUCUAAAAUUUCGAAUCAAAUUCGUUUGAAAAACAACACUAUUCAACCUCAGAUCAAGUAGGAUUACCCGCUGAACUUAAGCAUAUCAAUAAGCGGAGGA